rnacentral:rRNA from 1 species
UACGGAGGGUGCAAGCGUUGUCCGGAAUCACUGGGCGUAAAGGGCGCGUAGGCGGUUGGGGAAGUCCGUGGUGAAAGCUCGUGGCUCAACUACGAGUCGGCCAUGGAUACUCCUUGACUUGAGCACUGUAGAGGCAGAUGGAAUUCCGGGUGUAGCGGUGGAAUGCGUAGAGAUCCGGAAGAACACCGGUGGCGAAGGCGGUCUGCUGGGCAGUAGCUGACGCUGAGGCGCGACAGCGUGGGGGAGCAAACAGG